GGGGAUGACAGGCUUUUGACAGGAUAGGUGUGCGAUCCGGUUGCACUCCGAGUUUCAGCAUGGAUGGACUCGUUAAAGAAGUCUAUGUAACAAUUAGAUGCAGACGAUCAUUCGUAUGCAAUGGCUGCCUGAUUAGCAAAAGUUAAUUCAAUCAGCCAUCAUUCGAUAAAGGAGGCGCUUACUCUGAGCUUAUCGAAUGGCAUAACCCGCGCUUGAGCCAUAGCUCGCGCAAGUAAGCUUCAUCUGUUUUUUUUUCGGGAAAGCAGGUGAAUACUACUCCGGAAUAGUGUUUCGAACUUUGUCGACGGAGUCGUGAAACAUGAAUACUUAAACAUCGAAGAUGAGUGUGGUGGCUGUUUCAAGCAAUGUUCUGGACGCGGGUUCGAUUCCCGCCAUCUCCACUA
rnacentral:tmRNA from 1 species